rnacentral:rRNA from 1 species
UACGGAGGGGACUAGCGUUGUUCGGAUUUACUGGGCGUAAAGGGCGUGUAGGCGGUUUGUUAAGUCUGGCGUGAAAGCUCUCGGCUAAACCGGGAGAGGUCGUUGGAUACUGGCGAACUAGAGGAUGGUAGAGGCGUGUGGAAUUCCGGGUGUAGUGGUGAAAUGCGUAGAGAUCCGGAGGAACACCAGUGGCGAAGGCGACACGCUGGGCCAUACCUGACGCUAAAGCGCGACAGCAUGGGGAGCAAACGGG